AUGCUACUCCCUCGUCCCAAAAUUCUUGUCUUAGAUUUGCCUAGAUACGGAUGUAUCUAAUAUUAAAAUGUGACUUGAUACAUCUGUAUUUAGUCAAAUCUAAGACAAGAAUUUUGGUACGGAGGGUGUAUAUU
rfam:Triticum aestivum genome assembly, contig: Triticum_aestivum_CS42_TGACv1_scaffold_423804_5BS